GAACAUAGGAAAACAUUUCUACAUCCAUGUCUCUCCUAUUUGGCCCCAGACUACAGUGGAGUCAUCUUGACUAAAUGAGAUUGUUGAGGCACAAUGACUGUAAAGUUGUAUCACCUGCAUUAAGUGCAGCUGGUAAUACUGUAACUGGUGAUGAUAUUCAAACACAGGUACUUGGUAACCUCGGGCUGUAUUAAACCACUUUGUGACCUUUUGACUGUCACGGACUGCAGAUGGAGAGAGGCUGAUUGGGGCUGGUCCGCGGCAUUGGAGAACAAGAAUCUAAGCAGAAUGGAGUGGGUGUCAAUCCAUACUGUGCUCUCAUUGAAGAAUCAUAUG